GGGGUCGUUAUGGAUUCGACGGGUAUAGUUCGAAUUCGAAUUGCGUUCCGUAGCGGCGUCUACGUAAAAACGUCCAGUUUUUAAAUUAUAACUGCAAAAAAUAAUUCAAACAACGUCGCUUUAGCUGCCUAAUAAGCAGACAACGACAAUCCUCCUAGCUUCGUCUAUGAGUUAGAUCUGGGUUUUAUAUAAAGUAGACUUACGCCAACAGCUCCCACCUGAAGUUGUUGGAAGAGACUAAUCAGGUUAGCUAGGUAUGGUAACCCUGGAAUACGGUGUUCUACCUGGUGAAAUUUAAAUAGUAUCCCUAUGAGCGUAGAUAUUCGGAUGGCGAUAUGCUCGGACGCGGGUUCAACUCCCGCCGACUCCAUUA
rnacentral:tmRNA from 1 species